GGGCCCGCACAAGCGGUGGAGUAUGUGGUUUAAUUCGAUGCAACGCGAAGAACCUUACCAGGGUUUGACAUCCUGCGAAUCUCUUGGAAACGAGAGAGUGCCUUCGGGAACGCAGUGACAGGUGGUGCAUGGCUGUCGUCAGCUCGUGUCGUGAGAUGUUGGGUUAAGUCCCGCAACGAGCCAACCCACGUCUUUAGUUGCCAGCAUUUAGUUGGGCACUCUAGAGAGACUGCCGGUGAUAAACCGGAGAAGGUGUGGAUGACGUCAAGUCAUCAUGCCCCUUACACCUGGGCUACACACGUACUACAAUGGACAAGACAAUGAGUCGCAAACCCCGUGAGGGCUAGCAAUCUAUAAACUUGUUCUA
rnacentral:rRNA from 1 species